rnacentral:rRNA from 1 species
GUGGGGAAUAUUGGACAAUGGGCGCAAGCCUGAUCCAGCCAUGCCGCGUGAGUGAUGAAGGCCCUAGGGUUGUAAAGCUCUUUCGCCAGGGACGAUAAUGACGGUACCUGGAUAAGAAGCCCCGGCUAACUUCGUGCCAGCAGCCGCGGUAAUACGAAGGGGGCUAGCGUUGUUCGGAAUCACUGGGCGUAAAGCGCACGUAGGCGGAUCUUUAAGUCAGGGGUGAAAUCCCGAGGCUCAACCUCGGAACUGCCUUUGAUACUGGGGAUCUCGAGUCCGGGAGAGGUGAGUGGAACUGCGAGUGUAGAGGUGAAAUUCGUAGAUAUUCGCAAGAACACCAGUGGCGAAGGCGGCUCACUGGCCCGGUACUGACGCUGAGGUGCGAAAGCGUGGGGAGCAAACAGGAUUAGAUACCCGGGUAGUCC